CUCCAUUCCGUCUUUCAUCACGGGUUGGUGAUUGUAGCCUGAUUUAGGCAUUUAGUUUGCAAUUCAAUUGGCCAUUUGGUGAAUAAGCCCAUGUACCAUUUUGUUAAUGGAUUGAUUGCACCAUUGUACUAUACCUCCCUAAUGCUUGCAUUCGAUUUUAUAUUAUGAAAUUGUUUCAUUUUCUUCUGUUGUUGCUGUUCUGUUGUUGUUUAGGUGCAGUGCAAUAGAAUAAAAAACACAUAUCAAAGGACUUGCAAAUUAAUUAUACAAAAUUAUGGAAACUGGUAACUCAGAACACAAUAUGGCAGAUUAUAUAUACAUAACACGUCCAUUUAAAGCCAAGGCAUCUCAUAGUAGAAGUCAUUCAAACUAUACAAGUGAAGCUCAACAGGUUAC